rnacentral:lncRNA from 1 species
AAAGGCCACUCACAACAUGGAUUGCGUAAGCGCUGCAGGCUGCCACAGAUUGGGCACGCAUUAAACCCUGCGCUCUGUCUGGCAGGUCUUUACUCCAAUGGAAUCAGAGUGCAUGCGUUUUAAUAGGGCUGUUGUGCACCACCCAGCUCAACAACGCUUUGCCUGACGCGUACGUGCGUGCUGCUGGCUGCGCUACGUUGAAACAGGGGGCGUACUAGGCUCUGCGAUGGAGGACUGCAUAGAGGUGAUUUUGCAGGACCAGGGUGCUCUCUUACGCCCGAGUAGGGACCACCCGUGGGUGACAGCCUGCGCCGGGGCCAUGCUGACCGGCAUGUAUGGACUCUGGAGCCUGUUCACUCUGCCCGGCCUGCGCAGAGUGCCGUGGAAACUCAAGGUGCCAUAUUUACCCUCCAGCCAGCAGCAGACGGGGAACGUUCUGAAGCACCUCCAUGGACGCUCGGGCCGUCUGGCAGAUCUUGGGUCAGGGACGGCCGGCUGGUGAGUGGGCAGCACAUGUUUCACUGUAUAUCUCUGACGUGGUGCCAACACGGGACUUACUGAAUGUUCCAAGUGAACAAG